rnacentral:misc_RNA from 1 species
GAUGAAGAACGUAGCAAAAUGCGAUAAGUAAUGUGAAUUGCAGAAUUCAGUGAAUCAUCGAAUCUUUGAACGCACAUUGCGCCCGCUGGUAUUCCGGCGGGCAUGCCUGUUCGAGCGUCAUUUCAACCCUCAAGCCCCCGGGUUUGGUGUUGGGGAUCGGCUCUGCCUUCUGGCGGUGCCGCCCCCGAAAUACAUUGGCGGUCUCGCUGCAGCCUCCAUUGCGUAGUAGCUAACACCUCGCAACUGGAACGCGGCGCGGCCAUGCCGUAAAACCCCAACUUCUGAAUGUUGACCUCGGAUCAGGUAGGAAUACCCGCUGAACUUAAGCAUAUCAAUAAGCGGAGGA